rnacentral:misc_RNA from 1 species
GAUGAAGAACGUAGUGAAAUGCGAUAAGUAAUGUGAAUUGCAGAAUUCAGUGAAUCAUCGAAUCUUUGAACGCACAUUGCGCCCGCCAGUAUUCUGGCGGGCAUGCCUAUUCGAGCGUCAUUACAACCCUCAGGCCCCCGGGCCUGGCGUUGGGGAUCGGCGGAGCCCCCCGUGGGCACACGCCGUCCCCCAAAUACAGUGGCGGUCCCGCCGCAGCUUCCAUCGCGUAGUAGCUAACACCUCGCGACUGGAGAGCGGCGCGGCCACGCCGUAAAACACCCAACUCUUCUGAAGUUGACCUCGAAUCAGGUAGGAAUACCCGCUGAACUUAAGCAUAUCAAUAAGCGGAGGA